rnacentral:rRNA from 1 species
UGAGGAAUAUUGCGCAAUGGGGGCAACCCUGACGCAGUGACGCCGCGUGAGUGAUGAAGGCCUUCGGGUCGUAAAGCCCUGUCGGGUGGAACGAAUUCCUGCCUUGCCAAUACCGAGGCAGAUUGACGGUACCACCGAAGGAAGCCCCGGCUAACUACGUGCCAGCAGCCGCGGUAAUACGUAGGGGGCGAGCGUUGUUCGGAUUUACUGGGCGUAAAGGGUGCGCAGGCGGAUUUGUAAGUCAGUGGUGAAAGCCUACAGCUCAACUGUAGAAUUGCCAUUGAUACUGCUAAUCUUGAGUAUAGUUGUGGUAGGCGGAAUGUAGCAUGUAGCGGUGAAAUGCUUAGAGUUGCUACAGAACUCCGAUUGCGAAGGCAGCUUACCAAGCUAUGACUGACGCUCAGGCACGAAAGCGUGGGUAGCAAACA